rnacentral:rRNA from 1 species
CGGAGGGUGCGAGCGUUGUCCGGAAUCACUGGGCGUAAAGGGCGCGUAGGUGGCGCGAGUAGUCAACGGUGAAAGCCCGGGGCUCAACCCCGGGUCGGCCGUCGAUACUCUCGUGCUUGAGCACUGUAGAGGCAGGUGGAAUUCCGGGUGUAGCGGUGGAAUGCGUAGAGAUCCGGAAGAACACCGGUGGCGAAGGCGGCCUGCUGGGCAGUAGCUGACACUGAGGCGCGACAGCGUGGGGAGCAAACAGGAUUAGAUACCCUGGUAGUCCACGCCGUAAACGAUGGGCACUAGAUGCUUGGGGGAGCGACCCUCUGAGUGUCGUCGCUAACGCAUUAAGUGCCCCGCCUGGGGAGUACGGCCGCAAGGCUG